GUAGGUGGCAAGCGUUGUCCGGAAUUAUUGGGCGUAAAGCGCGCGCAGGUGGUUCUUUAAGUCUGAUGUGAAAGACCCCCGGCUCAACCGGGAGGGUCAUUGGAAACUGGGGAACUUGAGUGCAGGAGAGGAAAGUGGAAUUCCACGUGUAGCGGUGAAAUGCGUAGAUAUGUGGAGGAACACCAGUGGCGAAGGCGACUUUCCGGCCUGUAACUGACACUGAGGCGCGAAAGCGUGGGGAGCAAACAGGAUUAGAUACCCUGGUAGUCCACGCCGUAAACGAUGAGUGCUAAGUGUUCGGGGGGUUUCCGCCCCUCAGUGCUGCAGCUAACGCAUUAAGCACUCCGCCUGGGGAGUACGGUCGCAAAGACUG
rnacentral:rRNA from 1 species